GACGAACGCUGGCGGCGUGCUUAACACAUGCAAGUCGAACGGAAAGACCCUGCUUGUGUGGGGUGCUCGAGUGGCGAACGGGUGAGUAACACGUGAGUAACCUGCCCUUGACUUUGGGAUAACUUCAGGAAACUGGGGCUAAUACCGGAUAGGAGCUCCUGCUGCAUGGUGGGGGUUGGAAAGUUUCGGCGGGUGGGGAUGGACUCGCGGCUUAUCAGCUUGUUGGUGGGGUAGUGGCUUACCAAGGCUUUGACGGGUAGCCGGCCUGAGAGGGUGACCGGCCACCUUGGGACUGAGAGACGGACCAGACUCCUACGGGAGGCAGCAGUGGGGAAUAUUGCACAAUGGGCGGACGCCUGAUGCAGCAACGCCGCGUGCGGGAUGCCGGCCUUCGGGUUGUAAACCGCUUUCGCCUGUGACGAAGCGUGAGUGACGGUAAUGGGUAAAGAAGCACCGGCUAACUACGUG
rnacentral:rRNA from 1 species